rnacentral:rRNA from 1 species
GACGUAGGAGGCGAGCGUUGUCCGGAGUUACUGGGCGUAAAGCGCGCGCAGGCGGUCACGCAGGUCAUCUGUGAAAGCACUCGGCUCAACCGGGAUGUUGCGGGUGAAACCGCGUGACUUGAGGGUGGGAGAGGUCGGUGGAAUUCCCGGGUGUAGCGGUGAAAUGCGUAGAGAUCGGGAGGAAGGCCGGUGGCGAAGGCGGCGCUCUGGAACAUUUCUGA